rnacentral:tRNA from 1 species
GGGCGAUUAGCUCAGUUGGUUAGAGCGUUACAUUGACAUUGUAAAGGUCACAGGUUCGAGUCCUGUAUCGCCCACCA